rnacentral:ncRNA from 2 species
UGCUUGUUAUGCUGCCAGGGCGUCCCGCGGGGGAAGCCGGUGCGAAUCCGGCGCUGACCCGCAACGGUAAGCGGCCCCCGCGGCCGUGAGCCCGAUCGCCCGGGGACGCCGACCUCC